GACGUAGGUGGCGAACGUUAUCCGGAAUUAUUGGGCGUAAAGGGUGCGUAGGUGGUCGGAAAAGUUAGUGGUGGGAAAUCGAGGCCCAACUUCGUGGAAACUAUUAAUACUGUCCGACUCGAGGGCAGGAGAGGUUAACGGAAUUCUAUGUGGAGCGGUAAAAUGCUUAGAUAUAUAGAGGAACACCAAUAACGGCGAAGGCAGUUAACUAUUCUGUUCCUGACAUUGAGGCACGAAAGCGUGGGGAGCAAACAGG
rnacentral:rRNA from 1 species